AAAAUAAUGAGUUUGAUCCUGGCUCCGAGUGAAUGCUGGUGGUAUGCUUUACACAUGCAAGUUGAACGCUAUAUAAUAGAGUAGCAUAAAGGUGAGUAAUAUAUAAGAAUUUUAAUAUUAAUUUUGGCAAUAAAAAAGGAAAUCCAAAAUAAAAAAUAAAGAGAAGUCAGAAAUGAAAAGCUCGUUAAUAUAAAAGCUUGUAUCGAAUUAGGUAGUUGGUAAGGUAAAGGCUUACCAAGCCAAGGAUUCGUAGUUGGUCUGGGAGGAUGAUCAGCCACAUUGGAAUUGAGAUAAAGUCCAACCUCGUUAGAGGCAGCAGUGGGGAAUAUUGGACAAUGAGCGCAAGCUUGAUCCAGCAAUAUCACGUGAGAGAUGAAAUAGAAUGUAAACCUCUUUUAUUAAGGAAGAUAAUGACAAGAAUUAAAGAAGAAGCCCCGGCUAAUUUCGUGCCAGCAGCCGCGGUAAAACGGAGGGGGCGAGUAUUAUUCGUAAGGAUUGGGCGUAAAGGGUAUGUAGGCUGUUCGAAAAAGGCCUUAUGUGAAAAAAGAACUGAAAAGGACUAAAGCAUAAGCAACAAUUGAACUAGAGUAGAAAAGAUGAACUUAGUAUAUCUAAUUAAGAGAUAAAAUUCGUAAAAAUUAAAUAGACUUGCAGUAGGCGAAAGCAAAGUUCAAUACGCUACUGACGCUGAGGUACGAAAGCAUAGGGAGCAAACAGGAUUAGAGACCCUGGUAGUCUAUGCUGUAAACGAUGAGUGUUCAAUAUUAAAAAGAAAUAAUAUUUUAGCUAACGCGUUAAACACUCCGCCUGAGUAGUACGGUCGCAAGAUUAAAACUCAAAGGAAUUGACGGAGAUUUGCGCAAUCGGGGGAGCAUGUAGUUUAAUUCGAAAUAACACGAAAAAUCUUACCAAUCUUUGCAUUAUGUAUAUUAUAUUUGAAAGAAGAAAAGGUUCAAACAAAUAAGCAUAAAACAGGUGCUGCAUGGCUGUCGUCAGUUCGUGCUGUUAGGUGUUAGGUUAAUUCCUUUAUCGAACGUAAUCCUUAUAUUUAGUUACACAAAAUCUAAAUAGCUGAAAAUGACACGGUUUACGUGGAAGUUGAGGAGGAUGUCAAGUCUGUAUGGCCUUUAUAGAUUGGGCUACAUAUGUGCUACAAUGGUUAAUACAAAAGGAAGCGAAAGUGAAAGCUGGAGCAAAUCCUAAAAGUUAAUCUCAGUUUGGAUUGGUUUCUGAAACUCGAAAUCAUGAAAGUGGACUCGAUAGUAAUCGUAGAUUAGUACGCUUCGGUGAAUCGGUGUCAAAUCUAGUACACACCGCCUCAACGACGGGGCGGUAUAUAUGGAAACAUAUAUAAUAGAAAAUUUAGCUA
rfam:Trichophyton benhamiae CBS 112371 contig00732.0, whole genome shotgun sequence.